CAUGCAAGUCGAGGGGAAACGACAUCGAAAGCUUGCUUUUGAUGGGCGUCGACCGGCGCACGGGUGAGUAACGCGUAUCCAACCUGCCCAUCACUUGGGGAUAACCUUGCGAAAGUAAGACUAAUACCCAAUGACGUCUCUAGAAGACAUCUGAAAGAGAUUAAAGAUUUAUCGGUGAUGGAUGGGGAUGCGUCUGAUUAGCUUGUUGGCGGGGUAACGGCCCACCAAGGCGACGAUCAGUAGGGGUUCUGAGAGGAAGGUCCCCCACAUUGGAACUGAGACACGGUCCAAACUCCUACGGGAGGCAGCAGUGAGGAAUAUUGGUCAAUGGACGAGAGUCUGAACCAGCCAAGUAGCGUGCAGGAUGACGGCCCUAUGGGUUGUAAACUGCUUUUAUAAGGGAAUAAAGUUAGUCUCGUGAGACUUUUUGCAUGUACCUUAUGAAUAAGGACCGGCUAAUUCCGUGCCAGCAGCCGCGGUAAUACGGAAGGUCCGGGCGUUAUCCGGAUUUAUUGGGUUUAAAGGGAGCGUAGGCCGGAGAUUAAGCGUGUUGUGAAAUGUAGACGCUCAACGUCUGCACUGCAGCGCGAACUGGUUUCCUUGAGUACGCACAAAGUGGGCGGAAUUCGUGGUGUAGCGGUGAAAUGCUUAGAUAUCACGAAGAACUCCGAUUGCGAAGGCAGCUCACUGGAGCGCAACUGACGCUGAAGCUCGAAAGUGCGGGUAUCGAACAGGAUUAGAUACCCUGGUAGUCCGCACAGUAAACGAUGGAUGCCCGCUGUUGGUCUGAAUAGGUCAGCGGCCAAGCGAAAGCAUUAAGCAUCCCACCUGGGGAGUACG
rnacentral:rRNA from 1 species